rnacentral:rRNA from 1 species
UACAGAGGGUGCUAGCGUUGUUCGGAAUCAUUGGGCGUAAAGGGCGUGUAGGCGGUUUGUUAAGUCAUGUGUGAAAUCCCUCGGCUCAACCGGGGAACGACGCAUGAAACUGGCAAGCUAGAGUACCAAAGAGGGGGGUGGAAUUCCCGGUGUAGCGGUGAAAUGCGUAGAUAUCAGGAGGAACACCGGUGGCGAAGGCGGCUUUCUGGACAGAUACCGACGCUGAGGCACGAAAGCUAGGGGAGCAAACAGG